UACGUAGGGUGCGAGCGUUGUCCGGAAUUACUGGGUGUAAAGGGUCCGCAGGCGGGCAGGAAAGUCAGAGGUGAAAGACUUCGGCUCAACCGAAGAAUUGCCUUUGAUACUUCUUGUCUUGAAUCCGAGAGAGGAUAGUGGAAUUCAUGGUGUAGCGGUGAAAUGCGUAGAGAUCAUGAAGAACACCAGUAGCGAAGGCGGCUAUCUGGCUCGGUGUUGACGCUCAGGGACGAAAGCGUGGGUAGCAAACAGG
rnacentral:rRNA from 1 species